GAUGAACGCUGGCGGCGUGCCUAAUACAUGCAAGUCGAGCGAAUGGAUUAAGAGCUUGCUCUUAUGAAGUUAGCGGCGGACGGGUGAGUAACACGUGGGUAACCUGCCCAUAAGACUGGGAUAACUCCGGGAAACCGGGGCUAAUACCGGAUAACAUUUUGAACCGCAUGGUUAGAAAUUGAAAGGCGGCUCCGGCUGUCACUUAUGGAUGGACCCGGGUCGCAUUAGCUAGUUGGUGAGGUAACGGCUCACCAAGGCAACGAUGCGGAGCCGACCUGAGAGGGUGAUCGGCCACACUGGGACUGAGACACGGCCCAGACUCCUACGGGAGGCAGCAGUAGGGAAUCUUCCGCAAUGGACGAAAGUCUGACGGAGCAACGCCGCGUGAGUGAUGAAGGCUUUCGGGUCGUAAAACUCUGUUGUUAGGGAAGAACAAGUGCUAGUUGAAUAAGCUGGCACCUUGACGGUACCUAACCAGAAAGCCACGGCUAACUACGUGCCAGCAGCCGCCGUAA
rnacentral:rRNA from 1 species